rnacentral:rRNA from 1 species
GACGAACGCUGGCGGCGUGCUUAACACAUGCCAGUCGAACGGAAAGGCCCUGCUUUUGUGGGGUGCUCGAGUGGCGAACGGGUGAGUAACACGUGAGUAACCUGCCCUUGACUUUGGGAUAACUUCAGGAAACUGGGGCUAAUACCGGAUAGGAGCUCCUGCUGCAUGGUGGGGGUUGGAAAGUUUCGGCGGUUGGGGAUGGACUCGCGGCUUAUCAGCUUGUUGGUGGGGUAGUGGCUUACCAAGGCUUUGACGGGUAGCCGGCCUGAGAGGGUGACCGGCCACAUUGGGACUGAGAUACGGCCCAGACUCCUACGGGAGGCAGCAGUGGGGAAUAUUGCACAAUGGGCGGAAGCCUGAUGCAGCAACGCCGCGUGCGGGAUGACGGCCUCCGGGUUGUAAACCGCUUUCGCCUGUGACGAAGCGUGAGUGACGGUAAUGGGUAAAGAAGCACCGGCUAACUACGUG